rnacentral:lncRNA from 1 species
CCUGCCUGUAUGUGCAUACAUGUGCAUUAAAAGGUUUUACAGUCCCAAGUCAAACUUCAUCUAUUGUUCAAUCUCAGUCCUCCUCCAGCUUUACCUCUCAAUCCAAAAAGCAGUUUUAACAUCAGAAGUAAAAGGUCAAGAUGAGGUUUUCAAGAGGAGUGCAAUAGGGGACAAGGAAAGGAUCCAAAAGUCUUGGAUAUUCGGUCUGCUCUUAACUCCCUUCUUGAUGCAGUAUCACGCAACAGGUUUCUCCGAUCACGAAGCUGAGAUUUUCUAACCAUCCUGGUGAAUUUAAAGCCCACAAGGCUUGGAUCCAAAUCCAAAUGUGUUGUAUUCCCUCAACCCAUUACAGAAUAUCUGGAAGCUUUAUGAAUGUAUCAGUUGUGCUGUGGUUGUUAACUGCUUUGGCUUUCAGGGAAUGGUUCUUAUUAAAGAGAUGCUUCCAAACUGCAACACUACCCUCUGACAACAAUUUCUCAUCUAGUACCAAAAACAACAACAACUUGUCCAAAGAGCCUCAAAUGGGUCAAAAGUUUUGACACCAGCACAACAAUAGUACGUCAUCAGAAAGAAAGUAAACAAAAAGGGCAACCUAGUACAACGGAACUAGAAGUUGUUAUUACAAAAUAUAGACAAAAGGUGGACAGGUUGUGGGAAGAUAUGUAUUUGAUAACAAAAUAAGGAGGGAUGAGAGUGAGAGUCACCUAGGGUCAAAAGUUUGACACCAGCACAACAAUAGUACGUCAUACAAGAAAGAAAAGUAAACAAAAAAGGGCAACCUAGUACAACGGAACUAGAAGUUGUUAUUACAAAAUAUAGACAAAGGUGGACAGGUUGUGGGAAGGAUAUGUAUUUGAUAACAAAAUAAGGAGGGAAUGAGAGUGAGAGUCACCAAGAACCUAAUGAGUGGCAUAAUGGUCAAAAACGGGACAGCAGAUUAUAUGGAGUAUGAAGGAAAAAUUAAUCAGAUCUGAUCUUCAUGAUUUUUAUCUGUCUAGUCCAGAACGUUAAUCUAUAAUCAAGAGUGUACGGUUCUGAGUGCAUGCUGAAAAAGGUUAUGACAAAGUUUUUAUAUUUAUAUAAUAAAUAUUUUUAUAUAAUAUAUAGAUAGCUAGAUAAUAGAUAGAGAGCAUUUUAUAUUUUAUUUUAUAUAAUUUGUAAGUUUGUAUAUUAAUAUAUUUUAUAUAGAGGUAUACAUAUAAUUUGUGUGUGUGAAUAUAUUUAAUAUUUAUAUAAUAUUAUUAUUUAUUUAAUUUAUAUUAUGUAAUACUGUAAGAUUUAUAUUCUAAUAUUAUGUUUAUUAUAAAUAUGAAUUCAUGUUCACAUAAAGCAAUUUAAUAUUAAAUAUAAUUAUAAAUAUUAUACAUAUAUAUUUUGGAAAUAAAAAUUAGUUAAUCUAAAAACAAUUUUAUGAUAUUGAUAUUUUUACUUUUUUUUUUUUUUUUUUUUGUCACUAUUUUUUUUUUUUUUUUUUGUCUACAGUUAAUUGAAUAUCAGUUCAACAGAUUACCACGUUAUGAUUAUGAUUUUGAUUGAUGCAUACAUUCAAGAAGGUCAAGAGGUUAUAUGGCAAGAUACAGACAUUUGAUGUGUUUAACUAGUAUUAGAACUAGAUUUAUCCUAGGUUAGAUAAUCAGUGUAUAUCUUUCUAAUACUUUUCAUAAAUUUUUUUUUUAAAUAAAUUAAAAAAAACCUUGGGCAUCUAAUGCUUAAAAUGGCACAGAAUGCAAAAUGAAUGCAACCACAACUUGUACCCUAUUCAUGGAAAAUGCCUUAUAAUGUUUCAAUGAGAUGGUCUUUAUGUAUGUGUGCACGAUGAAAUGAAUGAAUGAAAUGUUUACAAAGUGUGUGUGUGUGUCAAGAGGGAAAAAAGAGAGAGGAUUUAAUUUUAUGGACUGGACGCGGUUAGGCCCCUGUAUGGAGGGAAAAGGAGAGGAAUUUCCCAUGCGGUCUGCGGUGCUUUUAGGAAGCAAAAAUCUUUUUAAAAAAGACCUCAGCGGAAACUGGGAGAGGAGAGGAGGGGGAGGGGGAGGGGGGAGUCAGAAACAUCAGGCCAGGGAGUUAGUGUGAAAUUAUUCCUGCCCUGAGAAUUCCACACACACCAGAUAAGAAAUUUCUUUACGUCUUUAAUCAGUACAGCUCACGGAAAACGACGAGCCAUCUGUUUUGUGCCAGAUCAGAUUAUUGAAAAAAGGGGCAUGAAAUUAUAAGACUAUGUCUUCCUCAUGCUCCUAUUCAGCAUUGAAUGUUAUUAUUUUGUUGUGGAUGUGAUUUAUUUUUUCUUCUUUUUUUGUGUUUGGAAUAACAUCAUGGCUGAAUAAAAGAACUUGAAUUGAAUUGAAUUGAAUUGAAUUGAAUUACUAUAAUAACAUGUAAGAUGUGUAACAAUUACACUGUAAAAUAAAGUGUUAUUUGCAUGAUUUAUUGGUCCAUUAUAUUUUGGGAUAAAUGUCAUUCACACACUUAUUCUAUAACUUACAAAUCAAUUUAGCUCAAACUUUACAAAAAAGUUCAAUUCAUUAAAGGGGACAUGAACCGUUUUUUUUUUUUGUACUGUUUUCUGAGGUCCACUUAUAAUGUUAUCAAGAUUUUUACAUCAAAAAACAUCAUAAUUUCUAAGUAAUAGGCUAUUUUCUGUCCUGUUCUGACCCCCUCUUCAAAUCAAUAUAUCAAAAUAUAUAGUUUGUUGGAGCCCAACAGCACUGGUUCAGCCAAUUGUGGGAGUUUAGGGUAGUGCUACUGUAUCUGUUUGGGCAGCCAGGGGUAGUAUUUAGGAAACCUGCUUGAACACAGUCAUUAUUUAUGCAUAUCAAUGAGUAGAAAUUACACAAUUUGCCUUUAACUUUUAACUUUAACUUGUUUUGGUUUGUACUGUAAAUGCAUCCAUGUGCAAACCGUUGAAAGUAAUAUUCCUAAAUCCCAGCUCCCAGCACUAAUACAGUUAUGAGGUCAUAAUCUGUUACCCUGUGUGACACAGAUAGCAACAUGUUUGAUUUGCAGCCUGCUGAAAGCUAUGAACUUCUCAUUCAGUCUUCCAUUGACAGAUUUGGGGUGAUUGGAUACAUCUGAUAUGCCUGUAAACAUAAUUGCCAUUAAGUCUGUCUUGAUAGACGUUGAACUUUGCUGAAACCGCAGGGCAAGAGGGCUUAGAAUAUUUCAUUGUCCAUUUAAUGGUCCUAUGGGUUUAAUGAUGGGGUUGAGCCUCUAAGGGAGGUAAUGAGACCCCCGGCAUACACAUACAGAGCUCUUUAUCCAUGGGCCAAGUGGUUUUUGACUAUAUUUGCUAUAGACGGUGAAACAUGAUCUGUACCUGAGAAAAGAUGCUAAGAGGUCUGGACAGCUGCAACGAUGCAUCUCAUGGAUGAAAGUGAGAGAUAAAAAGUGAGAAAUUACCAGUUGGUACUUUGUUUAAAGGUGUGUCAUGUAAAGAACGUACAAAGUGUGUGUGUGUUUAUUUAUGUGCUUGUUGCAUAUUUUCCCAUGUGUAUCGACAUCUUUCCAUAAGCCUGCCCCAGCAGCACAUGCUUAAAUUAUAUACCAGAGAUACACAACCUGCUGAAAAGACCCACUUAGAUCAG